AGCUUUAUAGUCAAUAAAAUGAUAUUAGACUGCAAUUCUAAAGGAAUAAUAAAAUUAUUAAGGCUU
rnacentral:tRNA from 1 species